rnacentral:rRNA from 1 species
GACGGAGGGUGCGAGCGUUGUUCGGAAUUACUGGGCGUAAAGCGCGGUCAGGUGGCUCUUUAAGUCCUUUGUGAAAUUCCGGGGCUCAACUCCGGAUGUGCAUAGGAUACUGGAGAGCUGGAGACUGGUAGAGGAGAGCGGAAUUCCUGGUGUAGGGGUGGAAUUCGUAGAUAUCAGGAAGAACACCGGAGGCGAAGGUGGCUCGCUGGGCCAGUUCUGACAUUCAUCCGCGAAAGCGUGGGGAGCAAACAGG